rnacentral:rRNA from 1 species
AGGUCACUGCUAUCGGUGUUCGAUUAAGCCAUGCGAGUCGUGAGGGGUAAAGCCCUCGGCGGAGUGCUCAGUAACACGUGGACAACCUACCCAAGAGUCAGGGAUAACCCCGGGAAACUGGGGAUAAUACCUGAUAGGCCAUGACAUCUGGAAUCGAGUUGUGGUUUAAACGUAAGGCUCUUGGAUGGGUCUGCGGCGGAUUAGGUUGUUGCCGGUGUAACGUACCAGCAAGCCUGUAAUCCGUACGGGUUGUGGGAGCAAGAGCCCGGAGAUGGAUUCUGAGACACGAAUCCAGGCCCUACGGGGCGCAGCAGGCGCGAAAACUCUACAAUGCAGGCAACUGCGAUAGGGGAACAUCGAGUGGCAUCCACCAUGGAUGUCUGUCCAAUCGUCUAAAAAACGAUUGUCAGCAAGGGCCGGGCAAGACCGGUGCCAGCCGCCGCGGUAAUACCGGCGGCUCGAGUGGUGGCCGAUAUUAUUGAGUCUAAAGGGUCCGUAGCCGGCUUUGCAAGUCCUAUGGGAAAUCCAGCGGCUUAACCGUUGGGCUUUCAUGGGAUACUACAUUGCUUGGGUCUGGGAGAGGUAGGAGGUACUCAGGGGGUAGGGGUGAAAUCCUGUAAUCCUUUGGGGACCACCGGUGGCGAAGGCGUCCUACCAGAACAGGUCCGACGGUGAGGGGCGAAAGCUAGGGGCACGAACCGGAUUAGAUACCCGGGUAGUCCUAGCCGUAAACGAUGCUCGCUAGGUGUCACGGCAGUCGUGGAUUGUCGUGGUGCCGUAGGGAAGCCGUGAAGCGAGCCACUUGGGAAGUACGACCGCAAGGUUGAAACUUAA